CUAAAAAAUGACAAAAUCAUGGAAUUUGCAGGGGAAUGAAUGGCAUUAGAGCAGAUUAUGCUAAGUGAAGCUAGCCAAUCUCUAAAAAACAAAUGCCAAAUGUCUUCUUUGAUAUAAUGAGAGCAACUAAGAACAGAGCAGGGAGGAAGAGCAGGAGGAAAAGAUUAACAUUAAACAGAGACAUGAGGUGGGAGGGAAAGGGAGAGAAAAGGGAAAUUGCAUGGAAAUGGAAG
rnacentral:lncRNA from 1 species